GAUGAACGCUAGCUACAGGCCUAACACAUGCAAGUCGCAGGACUGGCGCACGGGUGAGUAACGCGUAUCCAACCUUCCCAUAACUACGGGAUAACCCGUUGAAAGACGGCCUAAUACCGUAUGGUUAUGGACGGGGAUGCGUCUGAUUAGCUUGUUGGCGGGGUAACGGCCAGCCAAGGAUACGUACAGGAGGGGUUCUGAGAGGAAGGUCCCCCACAUUGGAGCUGAGGCACGGACCAAACUCGUACGGGGGGCAGGAGUGAGGAGUAAUGGUCGAUGGGGGAGAGCCUGAACCAGCCAAGUAGCGUGCAGGAUGACGGCCUUUGGGAUGUAAACUGCUUUUAUGUGAGGAUAGGUACCACAUGAAUAAGGACCGGCUAAUUCCGUGCCAGCCGCCGCGGUAAUAC
rnacentral:rRNA from 1 species